AGUGGACAUGGGGUGGUACUGU
rnacentral:miRNA from 1 species